UUCUGCGUAUUUUUGUCCUCUAAAUUCAGGCUCAUAACCUGAAGGUCGUAGGUUCAAAUCCUACCCCCGCAACCA
rnacentral:tRNA from 1 species